AGCGAACGCUGGCGGCAGGCUUAACACAUGCAAGUCGAGCGGGCAUCCUUGUGGUGUCAGCGGCAGACGGGUGAGUAACGCGUGGGAACGUGCCCUUCGGUUCGGAAUAACUCAGGGAAACUUGAGCUAAUACCGGAUACGUGCGAGAGCAGAAAGGUUUAUCUGCCGAAGGGUCGGCCCGCGUCUGAUUAGCUAGUUGGUGAGGUUACGGCUCACCAAGGCGACGAUCAGUAGCUGGUCUGAGAGGAUGAUCAGCCACACUGGGACUGAGACACGGCCCAGACUCCUACGGGAGGCAGCAGUGGGGAAUAUUGGACAAUGGGGGCAACCCUGAUCCAGCCAUGCCGCGUGAGUGAUGACGGCCUUAGGGUUGUAAAGCUCUUUUCUCCGGGACGAUAAUGACGGUACCGGAGGAAUAAGCCCCGGCUAACUUCGUG
rnacentral:rRNA from 1 species